rnacentral:rRNA from 1 species
AGUGAACGCUGGCGGUAGGCCUAACACAUGCAAGUCGAACGGCAGCACAGUAAGAGCUUGCUCUUACGGGUGGCGAGUGGCGGACGGGUGAGGAAUACAUCGGACUCUACUUUUUCGUGGGGGAUAACGUAGGGAAACUUACGCUAAUACCGCAUACGACCUACGGGUGAAAGCAGGGGAUCUUCGGACCUUGCGCGAGUGAAUGAGCCGAUGUCGGAUUAGCUAGUUGGCGGGGUAAAGGCCCACCAAGGCGACGAUCCGUAGCUGGUCUGAGAGGAUGAUCAGCCACACUGGAACUGAGACACGGUCCAGACUCCUACGGGAGGCAGCAGUGGGGAAUAUUGGACAAUGGGCGCAAGCCUGAUCCAGCCGUACCGCGUGGGUGAAGAAGGCCUUCGGGUUGUAAAGCCCUUUUGUUGGGAAAGAAAAGCAGCAGGUUAAUACCCCGCUGUUCUGACGGUACCCAAAGAAUAAGCACCGGCUAACUUCGUG